AUAACAAUGAUUCCCCUAGUAACUGCGAGUGAAGAGGGACAAGCUCAAAUUUUAAAUCUGUCAGGUUCUACCUGAUUGAGUUGUAAUUUGAAGAUGGCGUUUUCUGUGUUUCUGAUCGGUCCAAGUCCUUUGGGAUAAGGCAUCAUGGAGGGUGAGAACCCCGUUCGGUUGAUCAGAUUCGCUUUAUGAUACGUUAUCAAAGAGUCAAGUUGUUUGGGAUUGCAGCUUAAAAUGGGAGGUAAAUUUCUCCUAAGGCUAAAUACCGGCGAGAGACCGAUAGCGAACAAGUACCGUGAGGGAAAGAUGAAAAGAAUCUUGAAAAGAAAGUCAAACAGUACGUGAAAUUGUUGAAAGGGAAACGAUUGAAGCCAGUCAUACCGACGGGAAUUCAACUUCUCGAGUGCUAAUCAUGGGUGACGUUGAGCUUCACGGCCUUCGUUGCUUGUGUUGUUGGUGCUUUUGAGGUGUACUUUUCCGUAUUGGUAGGUCAGCAUCGAUUUCGAUCGUCAUAAAAUGAUCGGGGGAAUGUAGCUUCGGUCUCGUAUCGGAGUGUUAUAGACCUUGGUAGAUGUGGCGAUUGGGAUCGAGGAUUGCAACGAAUACCCUUUGGGCUAUCCGUCUGACCUCUGAAAGUCGCUCGGGUGUCGAAAGCGUGCUUAUGGCUAUUCGAGUUGGCGGUCAAUAGGUUAGAACGUGAUU
rnacentral:rRNA from 1 species